GUGCCAUCCCUGAUGCAGAGUAAUCCAUUGGAGUUUUUGCGAUUCUUGCUCUAUUCGGCUUUGAGUUCGAGUUCGCUAAUCUUGUGUUCUGUUUUCUCUGUAUUAAAUAAAGUGGUUGAGGAUAUUCAACAAAUUGGUGUCGCAGGUUCUCAGUUCAUGGAAUCAUUGGUUGGAUCUUCUUCCAAUGCCACAACACGUGGAUGGACACCGUAGAAAAAAUAUGUGAGGCGUUUUGCUGCAAUCUAUCCAUACUGCCCAGCGCAUGUUAUAGCAGCCAAUUAAUAGAAGCUAUAACUACAAAAGUAACAGCAGCCUGUUGGUACUCUUUUAUGAUGUCUACUUCCGACUGAAUAUUGGUUGGCAUUACAAAGCUAGGCACCUGAGCUAUUUACAGAAGG